AGGCUGCCCGGACGCCGGCCCCCGCCCGCCUCCCUGAGAGCGCCGCAGCCCGGCCUGCGCUGGAUUCACCAAAUCCUGGAAGGGAGACUUCAGGACCGCAGACCGUCCACAGAGGCCCUCUGCCCGGCGCGGCCCAGCCCGCCCCUCCUGCCCCAAUCCUGGGCUCCUUCCCGCCACCCUGUCCCCGCAGGCCUCACUAAGACACCUCCCCUUGGCCUGGCUGGCGUCCCUCUGCCCCCACCUCCUCUCCCAGCCUCCUGGACCCUAGAUCGUCCCCACGGGAGACGCCCCCCACCUGCACCCUGGUGGUGCUGGACAUGGGGAACGCCAGCCGGGGGCGCAGCCAGCCCCUCCUACCCGGCCUCCGGGACUCGCACGGAGCCCAGGCCUGGCCACCCCCCCCCAGCUCCCGUACCUCCCCUCCCCUGGCUCCUGGCCCAGUGAGCCCCAGCCUCAGGCGUCUAGUCUGUGAAUGGGGCGGCAACCACAGCCUGGCUGGCUGUUUGCGCUCCUGAGCCUCAGUUUCCCAAUAUGUAAAUGGGGAGCAAGAGGAGGACAGCAUGCCCCAUCUCUGCCCUGAGAGCCCCACGAAGGAUGCCGGUACCUGGAAUCCAGGACCCGAAGGACGCCCCCCAGGCCUGAGCUAGUUCCCGCAGCUGCCCCCCCCCCCGCCCCACUUCAGGCCAACAUGCACCCCGAGCCUGCCCAGCCGGCCCUGCCCUGGUCUGGGGCUCCGGGCCUUGGGAAGAGGCAAAGCCCAGGCGAGAGGGAGCCACUGAAGGUUUCCAGCCAGGGAGUGGUGUUCGGAAGCAGGCUCCAGAGGUGUCCCGAGAAGGAGGGCCAGCGGGGGUCGAGAGCAGCAGAGC